UACGUAGGGGCCGAGCGUUGUCCGGAGUUAUUGGGCGUAAAGCGCGCGCAGGCGGCCUCGCGCGCCCGACGUGAAAGCCCCCGGCUUAACCGGGGAGGGUCGUUGGGGACGGCGGGGCUUGAGGGCGGGAGAGGGUGGUGGAAUUCCCGGUGUAGUGGUGAAAUGCGUAGAGAUCGGGAGGAACACCCGUGGCGAAGGCGGCCACCUGGGCCGACCCUGACGCUGAGGCGCGAAGGCGUGGGGAGCGAAC
rnacentral:rRNA from 1 species